rfam:Dipodomys ordii contig_13858, whole genome shotgun sequence.
UGGCUCAGUGGUAGAGCACUUGCCUUGAAUGCAUGAGGCCCUGGGUUCGAUUCCUCAG